CUGGCGUUAGAGUAAAAUACUAAAGUAGGGCGCAUUUUGGCGCAUUGCAGCUUAAUGGGUUAUAGGAGAGAGAAAUUCUGCCCAGCAUGGCUGGUCUGACCAUUUCAAAUGGAAAGCGUGCUUUGUGUCUUUUUUGUAAAUAUAUCCAGUCCUUGCAAUAUGAUUAUCGGAACUUUAGCUAAAUUGAGAACUUUAUGUAAAUUUGUAUGCGGCAUAUAACAAAGUACGCAUUAUCAAAGUUGAGUUAUAGAAUUAUAGUGGCAUGCAGUCAUUGUUUGUUUUAUUAGGUUAACUAGUGCAUGUAGUGAUUAAGAAUCAAGUAAUAACAAAUAUAUGGACAAAAUAUUUAGGUUCAUAUACCAGUAAAAUAUCGUAUUAGUUUUCAUAGGUAGUAAAGUUAUAUUUCAUAUUGAUAUUUAAUAAAAGUAUUUGUUUAAAACAGGC